rnacentral:sRNA from 1 species
AAUGUUUCCUUUAUAAAAGAUACAAAUCCAAAGACUUAUACGGACUUUGGCUACACCAUAAAAG